rnacentral:misc_RNA from 1 species
GGAUGAAGAACGUAGCGAAAUGCGAUAAGUAAUGUGAAUUGCAGAAUUCAGUGAAUCAUCGAAUCUUUGAACGCACAUUGCGCCCGCCAGUAUUCUGGCGGGCAUGCCUGUUCGAGCGUCAUUUCAACCAUCAAGCCCCCGGCUUGUGUUGGGGACCUGCGGCUGCCGCAGGCCCUGAAAAGCAGUGGCGGGCUCGCUGUCACACCGAGCGUAGUAGCAUACAUCUCGCUCUGGGCGUGCUGCGGGUUCCGGCCGUUAAACCACCUUCAUAACCCAAGGUUGACCUCGGAUCAGGUAGGAAGACCCGCUGAACUUAAGCAUAUCAUAAGCGGAGGA